AAUGUACUCCCUCCGUUUGGAAUUACUUGUCACAGAAAUGGAUGUAUCUAGACAUAUUUUAGUUCUAGAUACAUCCAUUUUCGAGACAAGUAAUUCCGAACGGAGGGAGUAGUCA
rfam:Triticum urartu cultivar G1812 contig311275, whole genome shotgun sequence.